CCUACGGGAGGCAGCAGUGGGGAAUAUUGCACAAUGGGGGAAACCCUGAUGCAGCGAAGCCGCGUGAGUGAAGAAGUAAUUCGGUGCGUAAAGCUCUUUCAGCAGGGAAGAAAAUGACGGUACCUGAGUAAGAAGCCCCGGCUAACUACGUGCCAGCAGCCGCGGUAAUACGUAGGGGGCAAGCGUUAUACGGAUUUACUGGGUGUAAAGGGAGCGUAGACGGUGUGGCAAGUCUGGAGUGAAAUGCCGGAGCUUAACUUCGGAACUGCUUUGGAAACUGGCGAACUUGAGUGCGGGAGGGGCAAGCGGAAUUCCUGGUGUAGCGGUGAAAUGCUUAGAUAUUAGGAGGAACACCGGUGGCGAAGGCGGCUUACUGGACCGUAACUGACGCUGAGGCUCGAAAGCGUGGGGAGCAAACAGGAUUAGAUACCCUUGUAGUC
rnacentral:rRNA from 1 species